CUCAGUUAUUCUGACAUCUGGCUCUAUACCCUUUUGUGAUCCUAUGAUGAGCUUCGAAGGGGCUCACAGUGGCAUAGGGGUGGGACUGAGGUCCAUUGGAGCCUCCAGCAAGGUGCUGAUGGAGGAGGAGCAAAUGCAGCACUUGUGUCCUGGUCUCAGAACCCACACCUUUGUAACCUCAGCAGAUGACAGUGUCUACACUCAGGGCUAUAUCACCUGGCUCUGUUGCUCUCUCUUCCCAACUGUGUGACUUUGGACAACUCUUAGUUUCCUCUUUCAAAUAAUAGAGAAAGUAAAGGUAUAUCAAUUAGUGUUCACUAGGGGAACAAAUUUAAUAUAAUAAAAUAUAUGAUUAUACAGCAUAUAAAAGAUUGACUUAGCAGGUGUACGAUCGCAGCCUAUGAAGUCAGAGAUGGAAGAAUGCAAAAAUGGCCGUUUGUGUACUAUAAAGCCAGAGGAUCCAGUUGAAGGUCAAAGUCUUAAAGCUCAGUGGAGAUUCCAGUGUGAGUCAAAAGGUCUGUGUUGCAAGGCUGAAAAGUCUGCACUGGAGGCCUGAACAAACUGGAGAUGAACAUCCGAAGGCAAUGGGCAAGGCUGGAGUGCCUCCAAAGAAGCAAAAAAGCUGAAGUAGCUAUAGAAGGUGGAAGAAGAGGUCUGAGCGCUUCCAGAGCAAGGCAGUUGCCAUUGUCCCCUGCAGUGCUGCUUCUGAUAACUGUGCUUACGCCUGAGACACGCAGCCUUUACCCAUACAGUUCUGGAGGUGAGAAGUCCAAGAUCGAGUUGUUGGCCUGACUGUGUGUGCUUCCUCGGGAGACUCAAGAUGCACCACUCUAGCCUCCUUUGUCUGCACAUGGCCGCCAGCCCUGGGACUCCGUGUGAAUCCCCUCUCCUUGGAAGGACAUUGAAGCUAUAUUUAGACCCCACCUGAAUCCAACAGAGCCCAAUUUCAUUUACUUAUGUAUUCAACAUCUGCAAAGAGUUUAUUUCCACAUAAGGCACCAUUCAUAUAUCUUUUUGAGGAACUCAACUAAUCUUCAACUUUAUUUUAUAGAUGACUAAGCCGAAGUUUAGAGCAGUGAUGUCAUUUGUCAGGUUUGAGUUUGUGAGAGGGCAGAAUUGGGAUUAAAAUCCCAUUCUGGCCAGGUUAGAGCCAGUGCUUCUCCUGCUCAUCCAUGCAAGGCCCCUCAGACUACUGGCAUCACCCUCCCCACAAGCCCUGCUCCAGAGCAUCCAGCUCAAUCCAUAUGGUCAAAGUCCUUCCACAACAAACUUAGGUUAGUACCCACAGGGUUUUGUUCUAACAGCUUCAGGUUACCAAUACCUCCUCUGUGGGAAGGUAACACUCUAAUGGGAAUCCUGGAUGGUGAAGGCAGCUUUACCUGGGCAGCCCUGGCCAUUGCACAGGCACUGAUGUAAAGGACUCUGCAAACCUCAGUCAAACCACGUCAUCAAAGAGGGCCUGUCAGGCACCAGUGUGCUUUCAGAAGUGGGAACAAAGGAGCAAUUGGCAUUGCUGUUCUGUUACUUGACCAGGUAUUCUAGUUAACAGGCAGGGAGACUAUGUCCUUGGAGCCACAGAACUAAUUGUAUUCUUUGAAGUAACCCUAAUCCUGAAACCACAAGAAUAACUAAGUGCAAGGCUUUUCUCCCUAUUUUGGCUCAUGACUUCUACUCUUCAUAGCCUUAAUUUGUAUCCCAAACUCCAUAGGCUCAUUAGCCUUUUUCAUAAGCUACUACUGAAUGCAAACAUCACCAUAUUCUGAUGCAACAGCCUCCCUCCUGUAUUAGUAUAAACAGUAGCAUUCUGAAUGAAAAUAUCCCUCUGCUGCCUCCACCUGUCAUUACCAAAGCACACAUGAAAGCCCCAGCAGGGUCCACAGUUCUUGCAGUUAUAUUACCCAAACCAGGAGCUUCUGGUACAAUAUAGAUUUUUAUAAUUGAAAACCCACUAACACAACAUAUAUCCUAUUCAUUUCUUAUGCCAUCCCUGUGAGGAUUAAUGAUAACAAGCUUUUCUUAAAAUCCCUUGAGGCAUAGCCACACAGCACUAGAGAUGGUGCUAUUCUGACCUAAACACCAUGAAGCUUUAUGAGAGUCACAGCCUCAGUUUCAUGUCACCAAUACUCUUCUGUUUUAGAAUCUCAAACUGUGAAUAAAUUCAUAGCUGAAUAAUAUUAUUAGUCUGUGGACUACAAAUAGUACUUCCCUUAGUAGCAGUGUGGUGGUUCUGGUUAAUUGAUCCCUGUCCCCAAGACCCUGGGGCUAGGAAUCAUGGACACGGUGCUGCCUCUUGGUUGCAGAGAGAAAAUUGCCUGAGGGUCCUCCAUUAUUUCCCAGAUUGCUCUCUAUACCCUAGUUUAUAAUCCUGGAAAGCUCCUGGGAGUUAAGAGGCUGAGCUUCCCCUGAGCUCUAUCUGAGUUAGAUUAAUUUUUAGUCAGGGUCCACACCCAGGGCAGAGGUAAGUGGCACAAAGGGAAGUGCUCAGGCCUUUGGACUGGCAGGGAUUUCCAUGUUCACAUUCUUCCCUCUUGUGUUCUGUGGCUUUUUGUGCUCUGUUAGGCAAAACAGGAGAGAUGGAUGCCCCCUCUCCCAAAAUAGGAUAUCAUGACAUACCAGGCCUAUUUCACAUUGUACUGGCUUCUCAAAUCCAGAGGGCCCCUGGAACCGUCUACAGUAGGGCUUUUAGAAAGGAUAUAUUUAAAAUAAAUGUUUCUCAAUUCAAAAAUAACCUUUUUUUUAAAAGUUAAAUUUCAGGGCUAGGGCUAUGGCUCAGUGAUAGAGUACUUGCUUCGAAUGUGUAAGGCCCUUGGUUCAAUCCCUGGUACUGGAAAACAAUUCAGUUUUUUAUAUGGGAAAAACAUCAUAGAGGUGUUUACUAGGCAUCUUGAACUUUCUAAUGCUGUUAGGUCUUGGAAUUCCCAGCUCCUUCUUUUCUUUCUUCUUUUGUAGAGCGAAUGGUGCACCAAAUAUGCCCCUUGGGAAAGUGUGGAAAUGAUUCCAUGCUUAUGUCUCAAGUAAAUAAACGUGUUGGGAGCAUAUAGAUUGCCUCAUUUUUCAUAUAAAAUGCACAUUUGUUUACAUACAGAUCAGUAUUACACAUGUAAUUUUUUUUGAGACAGGGUCUCGCUAUGUUGUUCAGGUAGUUCAGGCUGGCCUUGAGUGCACUAUGUAGCCCAGCCUGUCUUCAAACUAGCAGUGAUCCUCCUGCCUCUGCCUUCUGAGUGCUGGGAUUACAGGCAUGCACCCCCACACUUGGCUUUACACAUGUAAUUUCUCAAUGUUGUGGCCUCAGGAUCUAGUAUGGAAACUUAGAGAAUGCAGGAUGUAACAGUUAAAAAUGUGUUGGAUGCUUAGAGCCUAUGAAAUAUUUUCCCUGUAUAUUUAAUGGGACUUACUAAAGAAUCUCAAAAUUUAAGUAAGUGCUAUAUAAAUGAAUCUUAAAGAGAUAAAUGUCUUUUAAACAACAUGUAAAAAAUAAUUGUUUUAACAAAUGCCUUUAUGAUGUAAAUAAUUACAACUCAGUUUAGCGAAUCUGCUGAGCUCACUCGUUAUAGUGGUGUCAGUAGGUUCUCUAGUGGCUCUGAGGGAUUCAUGGGAGAGGAGAGAGCAAACCACGUCAGUGUGGAGACAGAACAAGACAAUAGCAAAAGACAAAUGUUUAAAGCAGCAACCAUGCAGCGAACUCACCAGAACCUUGGACUUUCACAUGGGAUCUUCAUUACUAUUCCUCUAGUUACAAAACAAGCUGGACAGCCAGAUUUAAGGUGCUAGAGAAAUGGAGACUAUGGCUCCCUCUGCUGAUCAACACAUUAAAAUUCUGAAAACAUUUGGUGCCAUUUAUUGAAAAGUUAAACACAUGGCAGUAAAGAAUAAAAUGAGUCCUGUCUUCCUUAUCCUCUCUAGAUUAAUGGAAAAUGUUAAAAUAAGAAUAACCACUCCAUAUAUUUUAGAAUACUAUGUAAAUCUUUGCCUCUAUUCCCCAUUUCAGUAAUAUGGGGCACAUCUGAAGAAGGCAAGGAGUGGGCUGCACCUCACACUGGCUGAGGAAGUCCAAUGUAUUUAAAUUCCUUAAAAACUCAAGAGCUUAGUAAGGAGUGACUGCAACUCCCUUUUGUAGGGAAUGGGCUGCAUCUCACACUGCCUGAGGAAAUUUGUUGUUUGUAUGACUGGUCACCCAACUCUAUCUCAGGCCCUUCCACUAACUAGCUGCCUUACUCAUAAACUAACUAAAUGAACCAUCUUCUAUAAAAGGAGGUGGUCUACUCCCAGGUGAAAGAGUCUAUUUGCAAGUAAAAAGGGAAGGGCUGAACCAAUUUGCAGGUAAGAAGGAAUUGCCCAGGCUUCUUGUAUUUUGGUAGAAAAGACAGGAAAAAAUUAAUCUGGGUUUGUGUUCUGAAGCUGCAGUUUUUAUUUUUAAAAUUGUGAUUUUUCCUGGCCUCCUUUCUACCUAUCUUUAUUUCUUCUAUCUCACUUCAGAAUCACUUAAAGUUCUCCACAUUGGGACCUCAUCAUCCAUAACAGUAUAGUUCCCACUCUGGGGAUAAUAGUCCUUACUAGAAUAAAUCUGAUCCAGUAUUUCUUUUGCUACCAGUGCCUCCCUUUCCUGGAGGAUUAAAUCCUUCCCUUGACCAGGGAUGUAGCUCAGUGGUGCCAUACCUGCCUGGCAAGCAUAAGGUCCAGUACCACACACACACACACACACACACACACACACACACACACACACAUAUACACAAACACACAUACACACACGCACAAACUGUUUUAUGUCUAAAUCCUUCCCUUGAUGUGUAAGAACUUUGACCACUUGUCUUUAACUUGAGACAGGAAAGUAGGGCAUGGUCAAGACUGGCUGAGAAAGGAAGUAUGAUGAGAUUUUGGAAUAUGUGGGUGGAAUAGUUCCCAAAGCCCUGCCUGUGGACUUCUCAUGGAAACUCGAGCAGGUUUUUGAUAGAAUGGCCUAGACCUGAUGUCAGCCUGAGGAGUGGGUGAUACAAAAAAGAUAGCCCACACUGAGUUUUUAGCCUCUGUGUCCUCUCUUGCAUGGUGGCCCACCUUCACGCUGUGUGGUUAUUUCUUUUCUUACUUUGCCCAGACUUGCUCUGCAGAGCCAGUUUCUUUUCCUACCUUUAAUAAAAUCUUGCUACCGCUUGUACUUGUCUUGACUUAAUUCUUUGCUCAGGGCAGAAAGAACCUAGAAACACCUCUAGAAGGAGACUCCACUAUCCCAGAAUCUGUAACAAAUCCAUCAGUUGCCAAACUCCACUGCACACCUUUACUUUAUGUCUAAUGGAAUCCUGUGAUAGUCAACCUGACUCCAUUUGUAUAAAGUCAAGUGAUUCUGGGUGGUCACCUUCCCCUUCCCCCAUGAGAGUCCCCUCAGUUAAUACAUGACAGACUGCCACAUCCUGUGUGAAUCUGCAACUAUGUUAUCUUUACUACCAUGUAAACAGUGUACUCUUUACCUGUGUAAGUUUGCAGCUAUGUUAUCUUUACUAUCUUGUAAACAGUAUGCUCUGCACCUGUGUGAUAUUUUCUUUCAAUUAAACUUUGUGAAACUUUCCUUGACCCCCACUAAUUUAGCAAAGUUCUGUUCCUGUGAAAUUAAACUUGCACACCCCCUCUCCCUGAGCCUUCCACAAUUAGAAGAGCCAUUUAAAAGGAUCCCAAAAGCUGCUUUUCCUUUGUCAAGAAUUUUUCUGGCAUGAGUCACUCUUGAUCACUGGCUUAUGACAAUAAUAAAGGACUCAACUUGA